rnacentral:rRNA from 1 species
UACGUAGGGUGCAGGCGUUAAUCGGAAUUACUGGGCGUAAAGCGUGCGCAGGCGGUGAUGUAAGACAGUUGUGAAAUCCCCGGGCUCAACCUGGGAACUGCAUCUGUGACUGCAUCGCUGGAGUACGGUAGAGGGGAUGGAAUUCCGCGUGUAGCAGUGAAAUGCGUAGAUAUGCGGAGGAACACCGAUGGCGAAGGCAAUCCCCUGGACCUGUACUGACGCUCAUGGCACGAAAGCGUGGGGAGCAAACAGG